rnacentral:rRNA from 1 species
GCCGGGUUUCACACAGGUGUUGCAUGGCUGUCGUCAGCUCGUGUCGUGAGAUGUUGGGUUAAGUCCCGCAACGAGCGCAACCCUCAUCCUUAGUUACCAUCAGGUAAUGCUGGGGACUUUAAGGAAACUGCCAGUGAUAAACUGGAGGAAGGUGGGGAUGAUGUCAAGUCAUCAUGGCCCUUAUGGAGUGGGCUACACACGUGCUACAAUGGUGGCUACAAUGGGCUGCAAAGUCGCGAGGCUAAGCUAAUCCCUUAAAAGCCAUCUCAGUUCGGAUUGUACUCUGCAACUCGAGUGCAUGAAGUUGGAAUCGCUAGUAAUCGUGGAUCAGCACGCCACGGUGAAUACGUUCUCGGGUCUUGUACACACUGCC